AUGGUGUGGAGCUGUAGAGGGACUGAGGCGGGUGGGAGCAGCCGCGCAGCGAGCACUCUGAGCGGGCACACGGAGCGAGUGGACGCUGAUGGAUCAUGAGAGCGGCCGCCGGAGGAAAGGGCAGCCGGGAAGAGCGCUCGGUCGCCGGGUGCGCAUGUGAGGAUCCUCCCGGGAGGCAGACGGAACUCUGGAUGUGUCAGUCAAACUGAGUUGGAAACGAGGACUGUGAGCGACACCACAGCGUGUAAGUUUCUUGCCUGUAAAACUCUGCUCUGCUUGGGGAGAUAAAACGGCCCAAAUGAAACGAAGACGCACGUCAAGAGCCACACAAACCAGUUGCAUUGUGGAAUCCAUGAACAGAAGCCCACCAAUUCCUCAACCCCAAAUUUUUCAACAGUUGAGUGAAUUUUUUCAUACGGUUGAAUUCCAGAGGUGCUUCAAGAGGAACACAUGUCCUCGACUAUGCUGACAUUUGAAUGCAUUUCUAGGAACCCUGAUGGUUUGGGGUGUCUUUGCUGGAUCAUGGUGGGCCAUUGUGAGUCCUUCCUGUCAGUAACUGUCUGAGGGAGGCAAGUACUAACUUCUUGGAAUGUGGCAAGUCCUUGUGAACUAUUUCCUUUCUUUUUCAACCACUGUUUGUUGCUUUAUAAAGUUUCUUUUUCUAACCUUUAAACUGAUGGGUUACUGACCAUGUGCAAUGGUAAAUAUACCCAAGGAACAAUGUCAUUCUACAAAAUGGGCAUUUUGGGAAUCCGCUGACAAACAACCCAUUGUCACUUUUACAAAAUAUUAAUUUCUAGCAACUUCACUUGCUAUAGCCAAACAGCUAAAGCUCAUUCUAAACUCACCCGGAGAGACGUGGGUUCAUAUUUGCAGAGUUAUACCAAUUUUGCUGGGACUCAAACAAGAACUCCCAUAAGGAUAUUUGCUGUCAUUAACUGAGCUCAUGGCGGUUUAGCGCAGACCAAUUAAGACUCAUAUUUGCUUAUACAGUUGUUAAGUUUCUCUAAGGACCAUUGUGAUUGUGGCCAUACAUCCCAUUGUUUUCCGAUAAUUAAUGAUACUUUGGUUUACUUUGGACUAUACGGGGAUAUGAGUAUAAGACAGCUAAAAGAAUGGGUGAGAUAUAUAGUAAGCCACAAUUCAAACACACAAGGCUCUGAUGACAAAUGAUUAACU
ensembl:lncRNA